GGUCAAGUAAAUAAGGGCUUAAGGUGGAUGCCUAGGCACUGGAAGGCGAUGAAGGUCGUGACAAGCUGCGAUAAGC
rnacentral:rRNA from 1 species